GACGUAGGGCGCGAGCGUUGUCCGGAUUUAUUGGGCGUAAAGAGCUCGUAGGCGGCUUGUCGCGUCGUCCGUGAAAACCUGCGGCUCAACUGCAGGCUGGCGGUCGAUACGGGCAGGCUGGAGUUCGGUAGGGGAGACUGGAAUUCCUGGUGUAGCGGUGAAAUGCGCAGAUAUCAGGAGGAACACCGGUGGCGAAGGCGCCACUCUGGGCCGAAACUGACGCUGAGGAGCGAAAGCGAGGGUAGCAAACAGG
rnacentral:rRNA from 1 species